rnacentral:rRNA from 1 species
UACAGAGGUCCCAAGCGUUGUUCGGAUUCACUGGGCGUAAAGGGUGCGUAGGUGGCGAGGUAAGUCGGAUGUGAAAGCUCGGAGCUCAACUCCGAAAUGGCAUUGGAAACUACCUGGCUUGAGGGCUGGAAGGGGGACUGGAAUUCUCGGUGUAGCAGUGAAAUGCGUAGAUAUCGAGAGGAACACCAGUGGCGAAGGCGAGUCCCUGGACAAUACCUGACACUGAGGCACGAAAGCUAGGGGAGCAAACAGG